rnacentral:rRNA from 1 species
AACGAACGCUGGCGGCAUGCCUAACACAUGCAAGUCGAACGAGACCUUCGGGUCUAGUGGCGCACGGGUGCGUAACGCGUGGGAACCUGCCCUUAGGUUCGGAAUAACUCCCCGAAAGGGGUGCUAAUACCGGAUAAUGUCUUCGGACCAAAGAUUUAUCGCCUUUGGAUGGGCCCGCGUUGGAUUCGCUAGUUGGUAGGGUAAAAGCCUACCAAGGCGACGAUCCAUAGCUGGUCUGAGAGGAUGAUCAGCCACACUGGGACUGAGACACGGCCCAGACUCGUACGGGAGGCAGCAGUGGGGAAUAUUGGACAAUGGGCGAAAGCCUGAUCCAGCAAUGCCGGGUAAGUGAUGAAGGCCUUAGGGUUGUAAAGCUCUUUUACCCGGGAUGAUAAUGACAGUACCGGGAGAAUAAGCACCGGCUAACUCCGUG